rnacentral:rRNA from 1 species
CCUACGGGAGGCAGCAGUGGGGAAUAUUGGACAAUGGGCGCAAGCCUGAUCCAGCCAUGCCGCGUGAGUGAUGAAGGCCCUAGGGUUGUAAAGCUCUUUUGUGCGGGAAGAUAAUGACGGUACCGCAAGAUAGCCCCGCUCUNUUG